GUGCCAGCCGCCGCGGUAAUACAGAGGGUGCAAGCGUUAAUCGGAAUUACUGGGCGUAAAGCGCGCGUAGGCGGUUUGUUAAGUCGGAUGUGAAAGCCCCGGGCUCAACCUGGGAACUGCAUUCGAUACUGGCAGGCUAGAGUAUGGUAGAGGGAAGUGGAAUUCCGGGUGUAGCGGUGAAAUGCGUAGAUAUCCGGAGGAACAUCAGUGGCGAAGGCGGCUUCCUGGACCAAUACUGACGCUGAGGUGCGAAAGCGUGGGGAGCAAACAGGAUUAGAUACCUCGGUAGUCC
rnacentral:rRNA from 1 species